UGAGUGGGGCUCCCGGGACGG
rnacentral:miRNA from 1 species